rnacentral:misc_RNA from 1 species
CCAGAAGAGACCCUAACCGGUCCUCUCAACCCUGCCCAUCGUACCCUUGUGUUGUUCCCCUCGGCGAGGCUUUUCGAGCCCGCCGGCGGGAAGAUCAACGAAACUCUUUGCAAGCAAGCAUCCUGAAACCUCUGAUCGAAUACAAAUUGUCA